GGGUGAUAGGAACAGCUAACAGCCCCUGCCCCUCACAACGACCGGGGCUUGUGGGGUUGAAGUCACAUUAACCUCGAUUUAGAGAAGAUAAAACGGGCAGUGUCUUUGCCGAAGCGGACUGGGGGUUGCAAAUUCCCGUCAGCCCAGGGGUUGGCUGCACCUGCUGACUGUUGGCCGUGGGCGCUUUCUGGUCUCGCUGAUCGUCAUUGCCAUCAAUACGUGGAAGUGCAAAUACCGUGGAAGGAAGACUUGAGAGAAAAACACAAAAUAGUAACUGUACUUGUGCCAGAGUGGUGGGAAUUUUUCUUUCUUUUUCAUAUUUUCAGAAAUGUCCAUACUGCUAAAAUCCUUUGUCUUAAGGAAAACGCCUGUCAAGAAGCCCCUCUGUGCCGGGGCUGCGCAGGGACCCGGCACGGCCGGCAGGGGGCGCGCGCGCCAUCCCGGAGUCUCGUUGCGCAGGGUUGGGAGCGGGGCGCGGAGGACGCGGGCGGGGCGGGAGUCCCCAAGGACGAGUAAGAAAAGUCGUUUGGAGGAAAAGAGGAAAGAAGAGGAAAAGAAGGAAGGAACAGAAAUACAGUAGAGUGAAAAAAGUAAGACGUGAGCAGGGUUCCCUCGGUGAUGGACGUUUCUCAGCGGUCGCCUGGCUCUGGCCCCGCCCCCGCCCUCCCGUAGCCCCACCUGAGUUGCUUUGGACCAGUGGCUUCAUUUCUCUCUGUCUCCAGGCAGGAAGGGAGGGAAGAAAGAAAGGAGAAAGGGAGGGGAGGGCAGGAGGGAGGAAAAGGGAACGAGAGGAGGGAAAGGCCUCCAUUAGUUGUCAGACAACCUCUCAGGUGCCAGAGGUCCUGGUCCCCUGGGGACAGUCAUUGUGACAGGUGCUGGGUGAGAGCACAGGCCCUGGAAGAAGGAACGCACAGCCAGUCACCUUCACAGGGGUUUGCAGGGCUCACCAAAAGGUGGCAUUUUGUUCCAGGCAGGGUGCAGGAAUGAAAUCCUCACGUUGGGAACAAGCUGGCGUGUCCACGGACCCCCAGGGACUCCUGGGAUCCGGGGAACCUUCCCGGGGUCGCCGUGGCCGCAGCAAAGCUUUGCGGACGGUGGUGUUUUCUAAGCUGGUCUCCCGCUUCUGCCCCUUGUGCACCCAGCUGGCCUGGAGCCCCAGCACCCCGAGAUCUGCACGUCUGUCCUUGACCUGCUGCCCCAGCUCCAGGUCCUUCGAUGAAUGCCCUCUCAGGAAGUACCUGGAGCGGCUCAGUUUUCCCGGCUGUACCGACUUGUGCCAGCUGUCAGCGAUAUUUUCCAGGCCAGCUUUAUAUCAACUCUCCCUCCAGCCACCUGCCAAUAGAUCGUGUUUAUUCUGGAUUUCAUUGUCAUCAGAGACUGAGCUACUCAAGCAUUUUGGAUGGUGGAGGAGAAAGAAGAAUUUGCCAGAAUGUGCUCCCUCUGCUGAUUUGUUUUUUAAGCCUGGGAUCUUUGGAGGGAUGAUGUUGAGUGGUCCUAGACAUAUGAGGGGCAAGGAGGGCACAGCUGAGGGGGCCUGCCCCAAUCAAAGGCUUGGUGGAGAGUCUCCACUUUUCCCAGAUGAACAUGAGGUUGGGAACUGGGAAGUUUCCUUGCAGGGCAAAGAGCCAGGCUCCCCUACCAGCCCUCAGAAGAUGCUGUGGGAUGCCCAGUGGUCCUCAGCCCCGUGGCGAUGGCCUGGGAGACGUGCCUAUGCCCUGGGGCCUAGGAAGUGCAUUUGGUAUUGUCUGCUUAUGGGCUAAUGGCCAACAGCCCUUCCUCAGCCCUUCCAACCCACCUAAGGCCGUGAGAUACCUGCAGUGCCCAUGGGGAGUGAUCCGCAAUAACAGUGAUGGGUUUCUGCAUGUCUUGGUACCUGUGAGAUUUGAUUUAGAGAUAGAAAGGAUCGCGUCACCUCAUACAUGCGGAGUUGUGAAGUGGACUGGACACCAGCUGCAUGCAGGCUCCUCUUCCUGAGCAGGGUCUUCCCAUCACCAUGCUUUUCCCCAGAGACUCUCUGAAGUUGCCCAGGGGCUCCGGUGCACCCUGGAUGCCUCCUUCCAUCUGCCAUCCUGGCUAAGCCCUCUAGGACCACCCCCAGGUUCAUCAGGUGAAUGGAACUAGCUAACAAAGCAGUCCACUGGGGGGCAAGUUUGAGACAGAGCCCCGAGCUGGGUCCACACGCAUCUGGUGCUCAGUGAGGCGGCGCACUAGGACUGCUCUGGCGACCUCCUGGGAGUGGGCCAAGGGAGAAGGAGGCAGAUGUGGCAAGGUGUCCCCAGAGGAAAGGCCUCCCUGGGCAGUGGUGGGAGGUGCUGGGUAUGCAAGGGGACUGUCUCCAGGAUUUGUCCCCUGGCCCACGCAAAGAUGCGUGGCAGAUUCUGGAGGUGGGCAGGACCAUGAGUGAGAUCAAAGCUCUGUGGCAGGAAGCACUGGCCUGGGGCCCAGAUGACCAAGUGUCAUAUGCAGGGAGGAAAGCGUCACCCUUUUCUACACUGGCCAUGAAGGAGCAUUUCAGGGGUUCGGAGAUUUAGAACAGUGGCCUUAGUGUCUCCGGGGAUGUCCGUGCCCAGGAAGCAUGGGGCGCCUAGACGAGGCUGCUGUGAGGCUGGGCAGGAGCGAUGGGCCCAGCAUGAGCGAGCCACAGGCUUGUGGACAAGAAGCUGGCUGCCCAUGUGGUGGACUCAGUGCAGACGUGUUCCAGGUGUGCCUGGAUAUGGGGAACACUUGCAGGGACUCGGAGGAGAACUGGGCCCCCAGCCA
rnacentral:lncRNA from 1 species